CCUACGGGAGGCAGCAGUGAGGAAUAUUGGGCAAUGGGCGAAAGCCUGACCCAGCAACGCCGCGUGAAGGAAGAAGGCUUUCGGGUUGUAAACUUCUUUUGUCAGGGAAGAGCAGAAGACGGUACCUGUCGAAUAAGCCACGGCUAACUAGGUGCCAGCAGUCGCGGUAAUACGUGGGUGGCAAGCGUUGUCCGGAUUUACUGGGUGUAAGGGGCGUGUAGCCGGGCUGACAAUUCAGAUGUGAAAUCCGGGGGCUCAACCCCCGAACUGCAUUUGAAACUGUUGGUCUGGAGUAUCGGAGAGGCAGGCGGAAUUCCUAGUGUAGCGGUGAAAUGCGUAGAUAUUAGGAGGAACACCAGUGGCGAAGGCGGCCUGCUGGACGACAACUGACGGUGAGGCACGAAAGCGUGGGGAGCAAACAGGAUUAGAUACCCUUGUAGUC
rnacentral:rRNA from 1 species